CUCUCCUCCCUGGACCUCUCCCCUGCCGUCCUGCAACUUGUCACUGCUUGCCUUUCUUCCAUCUCGGACUGCCGUCCUGCCACGUGUCACUGCUUGCCUUUCUUCCAUCUCUGACUAGAUGUCCUCCUGCUUUCUGAAACUCAAUCUCUUUAAAAAUGAGCUCCUUGUCCUUCCUCCUCCUAAUACUGAUCCUCCUCUUUCGCUCUCCCUUCAAGUUAGUGGUAUCCACAUCACUCCAUCCUUGCAAGCGUGCUGUCUUGGCAUCAUACUUGAUUCUGGCCUCACCUUUGGGCCUCACAUCCAGUAAGUUGCCAAAUCCUAUAAAUUCCAUUUUAAAAACAUAGCCCGCAUCCGCCCCUUUCUUACCCAAGAUGCAACCAAGGAGCUUGUCCAUGCUCUAGUAAUUUCCUGUAUGGAUUAUUGUAACCCUCUCCUAAUUGGUCUUCCCAAAAGCCAUAUUGCCCCGCUACAGUCUGUAAUGAAUGCUGCCGCCAGACUGAUUUUCCUCUCUAGUUGGUCCUCUCACACCUCACCCCUCUGUCAGUCCUUACAUUGACUUCCUGUAUCCUAUAGGAGUCAGUUCAAAGUGCUAACCCAUACCUAUAACGCGCA